rnacentral:rRNA from 1 species
UACGUAGGGGGCUAGCGUUGUCCGGAUUUAUUGGGCGUAAAGAGCGUGUAGGCGGCCAGGUAGGUCUGCUGUGAAAACUCGAGGCUCAACCUCGAGACGUCGGCGGAAACCAUCUGGCUAGAGUCCGGAAGAGGAGAGUGGAAUUCCUGGUGUAGCGGUGAAAUGCGCAGAUAUCAGGAAGAACACCGAUAGCGAAGGCAGCUCUCUGGGACGGUACUGACGCUGAGACGCGAAAGCGUGGGGAGCGAACAGG